rnacentral:rRNA from 1 species
UACGUAGGGUGCGAGCGUUAAUCGGAAUUACUGGGCGUAAAGCGUGCGCAGGCGGUGAUGUAGACAGAUGUGAAAUCCCCGGGCUCAACCUGGGAACUGCAUUUGUGACUGCAUCGCUGGAGUGCGGCAGAGGGGGAUGGAAUUCCGCGUGUAGCAGUGAAAUGCGUAGAUAUGCGGAGGAACACCGAUGGCGAAGGCAAUCCCCUGGGCCUGCACUGACGCUCAUGCACGAAAGCGUGGGGAGCAAACAGG